UACGUAGGGGUCGAGCGUUGUCCGGAGUUACUGGGCGUAAAGCGUGCGCAGGCGGCUCAUCGCGCUCGGCGUGAAAGCCCCCGGCUCAACCGGGGAGGGUCGUCGAGGACGGGUGAGCUUGAGGGUAUCAGGGGUUGGUGGAAUUCCCGGUGUAGUGGUGAAAUGCGUAGAGAUCGGGAGGAACACCCGUGGCGAAGGCGGCCAACUGGGAUACACCUGACGCUGAGGCACGAAGGCGUGGGGAGCGAACGGGAUUAGAUACCCCGGUAGUCCACGCAGUAAACGAUGCAGACUAGGCGUGGGGGGACUUGACCCCCUCCGUGCCGGAGCUAACGCGGGAAGUCUGCCGCCUGGGGAGUACGGCCGCAAGGCUAAA
rnacentral:rRNA from 1 species